CCUACGGGCGGCAGCAGUGAGGAAUAUUGGACAAUGGGCGGGAGCCUGAACCAGCCAAGUCGCGGGAAGGAAGAAGGUACUUAGUAUUGUAAACUUCUUUUGUAGGGGAACAAAGGAGGAGACGCGUCUCCGGAUGAGUGUACCCGAAGAAAAAGCAUCGGCUAACUCCGUGCCAGCAGCCGCGGUAAUACGGAGGAUGCGAGAGUUAUCCGGAUUUAUUGGGUUUAAAGGGUGCGCAGGCGGUAUGUCAAGUCAAGGGUGAAAUCCCCGCGCUCAACGUGGGAACUGCCUUUGAAACUGGCAAACUGGAGUGUGUGAGAGGAUAGUGGAAUUCCAGGUGUAGGAGUGAAAUCCGUAGAUAUCUGGAGGAACAUCAGUGGCGACGGCGACUAUCUGGCACAUAACUGACGCUGAGGAGCGAAAGCGUGGGUAGCAAACAGGAUUAGAUACCCCGGUAGUC
rnacentral:rRNA from 1 species